UUACGGCGAUAUCACGUUGAAACACCGACCAUCGAAGUUAAGCAAUGCCGAGCCUGGUCAGUACUUCGAUGGGUGACUUCUUGGGAAAACCAGGUACUGUAC